rnacentral:rRNA from 1 species
AUUGAACGCUGGCGGCAGGCCUAACACAUGCAAGUCGAACGGUAACAGGAAGCAGCUUGCUGCUUCGCUGACGAGUGGCGGACGGGUGAGUAAUGUCUGGGAAGCUGCCUGAUGGAGUGGGAUAACUACUGGAAACGGUAGCUAAUACCGCAUAAUGUCGCAAGACCAAAGAAGGGGACCUUCGGGCCUCUUGCCAUCGGAUGUGCCCAGAUGGGAUUAGCUUGUUGGUGGGGUAACGGCUCACCAAGGCGACGAUCCCUAGCUGGUCUGAGAGGAUGACCAGCCACACUGGAACUGAGACACGGUCCAGACUCCUACGGGAGGCAGCAGUGGGGAAUAUUGCACAAUGGGCGCAAGCCUGAUGCAGCCAUGCCGCGUGUAUGAAGAAGGCCUUCGGGUUGUAAAGUACUUUCAGCGGGGAGGAAGGGAGUAAAGUUAAUACCUUUGCUCAUUGACGUUACCCGCAGAAGAAGCACCGGCUAACUCCGUG